AGUGAACGCUGGCGGUAGGCCUAACACAUGCCAGUCGAACGGCAGCACAGUAAGAGCUUGCUCUUACGGGUGGCGAGUGGCGGACGGGUGAGGAAUACAUCGGAAUCUACUUUUUCGUGGGGGAUAACGUAGGGAAACUUACGCUAAUACCGCAUACGACCUACGGGUGAAAGCAGGGGAUCUUCGGACCUUUCGCGAUUGAAUGAGCCGAUGUCGGAUUAGCUAGUUGGCGGGGUAAAGGCCCACCAAGGCGACGAUCCGUAGCUGGUCUGAGAGGAUGAUCAGCCACACUGGAACUGAGACACGGUCCAGACUCCUACGGGAGGCAGCAGUGGGGAAUAUUGGACAAUGGGCGAAAGCCUGAUCCAGCAAUACCGCGUGGGUGAAGAAGGCCUUCGGGUUGUAAAGCCCUUUUGUUGGGAAAGAAAAGCAGCAGGUUAAUACCCCGCUGUUCUGACGGUACCCAAAGAAUAAGCCCCGGCUAACUUCGUG
rnacentral:rRNA from 1 species